AUUGAACGCUGGCGGCAGGCCUAACACAUGCAAGUCGAGCGGAUGAAGGGAGCUUGCUCCUGGAUUCAGCGGCGGACGGGUGAGUAAUGCCUAGGAAUCUGCCUGGUAGUGGGGGAUAACGUCCGGAAACGGGCGCUAAUACCGCAUACGUCCUGAUGGAGAAAGUGGGGGAUCUUCGGACCUCACGCUAUCAGAUGAGCCUAGGUCGGAUUAGCUAGUUGGUGGGGUAAAGGCCUACCAAGGCGACGAUCCGUAACUGGUAUGAGAGGAUGAUCCGUCAGACUGGAACUGAGACAGGGUCCACACUCUUACGGGAGGCAGCAGUGGGGAAUAUUGGACAAUGGGCGAAAGCCUGAUCCAGCCCUGCCGCGUGUGUGAAGAAGGUCUUCGGAUUGUAAAGCACUUUAAGUUGGGAGGAAGGGCAGUAAGUUAAUACCUUGCUGUUUUGACGUUACCAACAGAAUAAGCACCGGCUAACUUCGUG
rnacentral:rRNA from 1 species